rnacentral:rRNA from 1 species
GAGCUUAUGCAGGCAUGAGUAGCGAUAAACCGAGUGAGAAACUCGGUCGCCGUAAGUCCAAGGUUUCCUGGGGUAGGAUAAUCCUCCCAAGGGUGAGCCGGUCCCUAAGUCGAGGCCGCGAGGCGUAGAUGAUGGAAAGCAGGUUAAUAUUCCUGCGCCAGACAGGGUGGCAUUGAAGUGAGCGGGGACGGAGUAGGAUAGCUGAGCACCGUGAAUGGAUCGGUGUUUAAGCCUGUAGGUGUUUCCCGUAGGAGUCGAUAGACACAAACGCGGGGAAGAGUAGCCGAGAGGUGAUGAGGCGGUUCUUCGGAGCCGAAACUCAGUGAUUCCAGACUUCCAAGAAAAGCCGCGCACAGAGCCUCUUGUUUGACCGUACUGCAAACCGACUCAGGUGGACGGGAAGAAUAUUCCAAGGCGCGUGAGAGAACCCUGGUUAAGGAACUCGGCAAAUUGACACCGUAACUUCGGGAGAAGGUGUGCCUUUGCGCGUGAAGGAGAACAUCCGGAGCGUGCGGAGGUCGCAGAGAAUCGGGGGUUGUGACUGUUUACUAAAAACCUAGCACUCUGCGAAGUCGCAAGACGACGUAUAGGGUGUGAUGCCUGCCCGGUGCUGGAAGGUUAAGGGGAAUUGUCAGCGCAAGCGAAGCAAUGAACCGAAGCCCCAGUAAACGGCGGCCGUAACUAUAACGGUCCUAAGGUAGCGAAAUUCCUUGUCGGGUAAGUUCCGACCUGCACGAAUGGCAUAACAACAUCCCCGCUGUCUCGACCAGGGACUCAGCGAAAUUGUAUUGGGGGUGAAGAUACCCUCUACCCGUGGCAAGACGGAAAGACCCCAUGAACCUUUACUGCAACUUGGCAGUGAAUUUCGGGGCAAUCUGCGUAGGAUAGGUGGGAGACUUUGAUGUCGGGCUUCCGGGUUCGGCGGAGUCACCGUUGAAAUACCACCCUGAUUGCUCUGGGAUUCUAACCUGCGUCCGUCAUCCGGACGAGGGACACUGCCUGGUGGGCAGUUUGACUGGGGCGGUCGCCUCCAAAAACGUAACGGAGGCGUGCGAAGGUUCCCUCAGGUUGAUUGGAAACCAACCGUAGAGUGCAAACGCACAAGGGAGCUUAACUGUGAGACCGACAGGUCGAACAGGUGCGAAAGCAGGCGUUAGUGAUCCGGUGGUCCCGCAUGGAAGGGCCAUCGCUCAUCGGAUAAAAGGUACUCUGGGGAUAACAGGCUGAUCGCGCCUGAGAGUUCACAUCGGCGGCGCGGUUUGGCACCUCGAUGUCGGCCCAUCGCAUCCUGGGGCUGGAGCAGGUCCCAAGGGUUCGGCUGUUCGCCGAUUAAAGCGGUACGCGAGCUGGGUUUAAAACGUCGUGAGACAGUUUGGUCCCUAUCUGCCAUGGGCGAAGGAUACUUGAGAGGAGCUGACCUUAGUACGAGAGGACCAGGUUGGACGCACCCCUGGUGAGCCAGUUGUCGCGCCCGCGGCAUAGCUGGGUAGCCAUGUGCGGAACGGAUAACCGCUGAAAGCAUCUAAGCGGGAAGCCGGCCUCAAGACCAAGUAUCCCAGGCGCAAGCCUCUAAAGACCCGUUGUAGACUACAACGUUGAUAGGCCAGGUGUGGAAGUGCAGCAAUGUACGGAGCUGACUGGUACUAAUAGGUCGUGCGGCUUGACCCU